rnacentral:lncRNA from 1 species
GCCUAUCCAAAGGGAAGAAGAAGAUCUGAAUGUAAAAUCCAUCAUACAAGGAGGCUAUUUCAACCUAUCAAAACUUUCCUUUGAAGUACGAGAAGACAUAAUUCAGAAAAUCCACAGCACCUGUAUUCAACAAUCUCAAACAGGUAGGGGCAAAAUCACUUGGAACUCCCCAGGAUACAGCUCCUUCUCCAUCAAGGUGGCGUACGGUAUUAUUUCUAACCGAGACACCACUAUAGAAGAUAGCAAACUAGGCUUUAAGUGGAUCUGGAAAAGCAAUACUUUAAACAAACUAAAAUACUUUCAUGUGGUUGCUCGUCCUUAAUAGACUUCCAACAGCCACCUGAAAAACGAAAUAUAUGCACCUCUGACACUAUUACCAUAUGUGGAGUGGAAAAAGAGGACAUCAAACAUAUGCUCUUCAAUUGUAUGGGACAAUGCCAUAUAAAGCAUAACUAUCCCCAAUCGACAAUGAGCUCACUACUUUCAACUGGCUAAAGCACCAACUAAAUUCUAACAAAUGCUAUUAUCACUACACCAUUUGGCCAGUCUUCUUACCAUUCCUUCUCUAGUACUUAUAGACCACCAUAAAUGAAAAGAUCUUUCAAAAGAAUGGACCAUAUCCCAUCAUUAGCAAAGUAACCAACAAUGCCCAGGAAUUCCUUUUCCUAAGAAAAUGGAGCCCUGCACGGAUAUAAAAAAAGACCAUCCAUAUCAAAUGGUAACCACCCACCAUAUGGACUUUUAAAUUAAACGUAGACGGAUCCUGUCUAGGUGACCCAGGUAGGGGAGGUAUAGGAGGAAUUUUCAGGGAUAACAACGAAAAUUGGAUAUUAAGAUUCAAUAUGGG